AUGACUCUCAGCAAUAGAUAUCUUGGCUUUUGCAUUGAUGAAGAACAUAACGAAAUGCGAUACUUAGUGUGAAUUAUUGAAUCUUAUGAACCAUUAAGUCUUUGAACGCAAGUUGCACCCCAAGCCAUUAGGUCGAGUGUCAUGCAUCAUCGCCCCUCUAUCCCCUUGCCCAUUAAGCUUUGGGUAAGGGGGUGAAAGAUGGCCUCCUGUGAUCUCAUCGAUCAUGGUUGGCCCAAAAGUGAGUCCCCUACAAUGAUAGUUUCAUGAGCAUUAGUGGUAAAGCUCUUAGUGUGCCUUAUCUCUAGUGAUGCACGCUCAUUGUCCAUCUAGACCCCAUUGGACCCCUUACAUCGCUCAAUCGAUGCUUGCAUCAUGGCCCUAAGUUAGGUAAGAUUACCUACUGAGUUUAAGUAUACCAAUAAGCAAAGGUCAAGAAAUUUACCAGGAUUCCCUUGUAAUAAUAAGCAAGUCGAGAAGAGCCCAGCAUAAGAAUUGAGUGCCUAUGACAUUCGAAUUGUAGUAUAAAGAAGCAUCUUCCAUGGUAGACCUGGCCUAAGUCUCCUGGAAAAGGGUAUAGAAAGGGUGAAAGCCCCAUUGUGCUUGGACCCUAUCGCACCAUGAGGCAUUGUAUGUGAGUUGGGUUGUUUGGGAAUGCAUCCCCAACUAGGAGGUAAAUUCUAUCCAAGGCUAAAUAUAGGCAAGAGACCGAUAACAAACAAGUAUCGUGAGGGAAAUAUGAAAAGGACUUUGAAAAGAGAGUCAAACAAUGCAUGAAAUUAUCAAGAGGGAAGCUAAUAAAGGCCAUCGAUGCACCCCAGUUGGAUGUGGAAUGAUGAAAGUUAAUCCAUCGAUCGACUUGAGGUGUGGACCACGCAGGUUAUGGCAGUGGCCCGAGCCUAGGCUUUCGAUAUGUCCGUAGAGACAUCAUCACUAUAAUCAUGGAAUAUAGCAUGCAUUGCUUAGCAUGCCUCAACACCUGCUUGCUCCUAGCAUUGACCUACGGGUUCCCCAUCUGGCCCAUCUUAAAACAUGGACCAAAGAGUCUAACAUGUGUGUGAGUUAAUAGGCUAGAAAACUCGUAAGGCAUAAAGAAGCUGAUUGGCAGGAUCCCUCGCAGGUGCACCAUUGAUCGACCUUGAUAAGGUGUGAGCAUGCCUAUCGAGACUUGAAAGAUGGUGAACUACGUUUGAACUAGAUGAAGCUAAAGGAAACUCUGGUGGAGGCCUACAGUGAUAUUGUCAAGCAAAUCGUUCGUGUGACUUAGGUAUAGGGGUGAAAGACUAAUCAAACUGGCUAGUAGCUUGUUCCCUUUGAAGUUUCUCUCAAGAUAGCUAGAGUCUUUGGUGAGUUCUAUCAGCUAAAGCCAAUUCAUAGCUAGAGCCCUUGACCUAUUCUCAAACUUUAAAUAGCUAGGGUGGUGCAGUUACUUCAUUGAGUAGUACCAUAGAAUCGAGAGCACCAAGUAGGCCAUUUUUAGUAAGCAAAACUGGCAAUGUAAGAUGAAUCACAAGCUGGGUUAUGGUGCCCAACUGUAUGUUAGUCAUGAAAGUCAAAAUCUACUAAGGAGUGUUAACAACUCACUAGCCAAAUCAACUAGCCCCAAAAAUGGAUGGCACUUAAGCGUGUGAUCUAUGCUUGGCUGUCGAGGCAAGGGCCAAGCCCCGAUAAGUAAGAGGGGUAACGGUGCCACAAAACCCAAGGUGUGAGCCCAAAUGGAGUAACCAUUAGUGUGGAUCUUGGUGGUACUAGCAAAUAUUGAAAUGAGAACCUUGAAGGCCAAAAAGGGGAAAGGUUCCAUGUGAGUGGGUCCAACAAGAGCUUUGAAAGUCAUUUGGGGUUAAAAUUCAUAAACCAAGAUGCAAUGAUUGCUGGCAACAUUAGGGAAUCUAGAGACAUUGGUGCCUUUUUGUUUAAUGGCCUGCCCACCUUAGAAACGGCUUAAUUGAAGGGAAGGUCUAGUGGCUAGAAGAACACUACAUGUCACUUGGUGUUUGUUGCACCCCUAGUAGCCUUUGAAAAUUCGAAGGACUGAGUGCAGUUUGUGCUUGGUCAUACUCAUAAUCAUAAUAGGUCUCCAAGGUGAACUGGCUUUGGUUGAUGGAAUGUAGGCAAGGAAAGUUGGCAAAAUGGAUCUAUAACCUCAAGAAAAAGAUUGGCUCUGAGGGCUGGGCAUGGGGUCUCAGUCCCGAACCCAUCAGCUAUCAGUGUACUAUUUAAGCUACUUUCGUGGUGAGAGCAGGUUGAUGCAUGCUGGCUGAAGGAUGAACUGGGAAUGGCUCCCUCAAGGCCCUUCCCUGGGCAAUGAACAGUCAACUCAAAACUAGUACAAACAGAGGGAAUCUAACUAUUUAAUUAAGGAUUGCGAUGAUCCUUGCGAAUGCUUAUACAAUUUGAUUUCUACCGCUUUGAAUGUCAAAGUGAAGAAAUUCAACCAAGCACGAGUAAACGACAAGAGUAACGAUGACUCUCUUAAGGUAGCCAAAUGCCCCAUUAUUUAAUUAGUAACAUGCAUGAAUGGAUUAAUGAGAUUCCCACUAUCCCUGUCUACUAUCUACCAAAACCAUAGCCAAAGGAACGGGCAUGGUCGAAUUAGUGGGGAAAUAAGACCUUGUUAAGCUUAACUCUAGUCUGACUUUGUGAAAUGACUUAAGAGGUGUAGUAUAAGUGGGAGCCUUCAGAAGAAAUUGAAUUACCACUAUUUUUAACAUUAUUUUAUUUAUUCUAUGAAUUGGAGGCAAGGCACGACCCUUUUUUGGACCCAAGGCCAGCUUCAAUCAAUCAAUCUAGGCAAAAGACAUCGUUAGGUGGAGAGUUUGGCUAGGGCGACAUAUUUGUUAAAAGAUAAUGCAAUUGUCAUAAGAUGAGCUCAAUGAGAGCAUAAAUCUCAUGUGUAACAAAAGGGUAAAAAGCACUUUUAAUUCUGAUUUAUAGUACAAAUACGAACCAUGAAAACAUGGCCUAUCGAUCAUUUAAACCAUUGAAAUUUCAAGAUAGAGAUGUUAUAAAGGUUACCACAGGGAUAAUUGACUUGUGGCAGCCAUGUGUUCAUAGUAACUUGCUUUUUAAUCUUUCGAUGUUGGACCUUCCUAUCAUUGUGAAGCAAAAUUCACCAAGUGUUUGAUUGUUCACCCACCAAUAGGGAAUAUGAGAUGGGUUUAAACCUUCAGUCGAAUGAAUGGCCACCUGCUUUGCCACACAUUGGUACACCUUACUGGAUGGGACCCCUCACACCAAUCGCAUGCCUGCAGCCUGACUCUUCAACGCAUCUUUUUGGACAAGGUGUGUAGGUCAAUCACACUCAAAUGGCACUACCCAUAAUAGACCUUAACAUGAUGGCAUUCAAACAAUUCGAUCAUCUCACAAGUUGGGUCUUUUUGGCCCUUCCAAGGUUACCUCUCUAGGUGUGGUGCUCUAGGCAAUGGCCCUCGUGGUGACACCUUAAUGCUUGCUAUCUCAUACUUAAACUUAAUGCUCAAAUAUCUCAUGGGCUUCAUUACCUUGGCUUAGUACCACCAGAAAUCAUAAGUCUUCCCCACUUUU
rnacentral:rRNA from 1 species